AGAGUUUGAUCCUGGCUCAGGACGAACGCUGGCGGCGUGCCUAAUACAUGCAAGUAGAACGCUGAAGGAAGGAGCUUGCUCUUUCCGGAUGAGUUGCGAACGGGUGAGUAACGCGUAGGUAACCUGCCUGGUAGCGGGGGAUAACUAUUGGAAACGAUAGCUAAUACCGCAUAACAGUAGAUAUUGCAUGAUAUCUGCUUGAAAGGUGCAAUUGCAUCACUAAGAGAUGGACCUGCGUUGUAUUAGCUAGUUGGUGAGGUAACGGCUCACCAAGGCGACGAUACAUAGCCGACCUGAGAGGGUGAUCGGCCACACUGGGACUGAGACACGGCCCAGACUCCUACGGGAGGCAGCAGUAGGGAAUCUUCGGCAAUGGGGGCAACCCUGACCGAGCAACGCCGCGUGAGUGAAGAAGGUUUUCGGAUCGUAAAGCUCUGUUGUAAGAGAAGAACGAGUGUGAGAGUGGAAAGUUCACACUGUGACGGUAUCUUACCAGAAAGGGACGGCUAACUACGUGCCAGCAGCCGCGGUAAUACGUAGGUCCCGAGCGUUAUCCGGAUUUAUUGGGCGUAAAGCGAGCGCAGGCGGUUAGAUAAGUCUGAAGUUAAAGGCUGUGGCUUAACCAUAGUACGCUUUGGAAACUGUUUAACUUGAGUGCAGAAGGGGAGAGUGGAAUUCCAUGUGUAGCGGUGAAAUGCGUAGAUAUAUGGAGGAACACCGGUGGCGAAAGCGGCUCUCUGGUCUGUAACUGACGCUGAGGCUCGAAAGCGUGGGGAGCGAACAGGAUUAGAUACCCUGGUAGUCCACGCCGUAAACGAUGAGUGCUAGGUGUUGGAUCCUUUCCGGGAUUCAGUGCCGCAGCUAACGCAUUAAGCACUCCGCCUGGGGAGUACGACCGCAAGGUUGAAACUCAAAGGAAU
rnacentral:rRNA from 1 species